UUGUGUUUCUCCUCCACAUGGAUGGAUUCUUCCCCUCACCUUGACCUUCUGCGCCUAGCACCUCUCUAUCUGAGCCUCACUCGUAGGAGCCAGGGACCCACCUGCUGGGUGGUGGAGGCAGAUUCCUCCAGUUGUCCAUCCAGGAAGAGAGCAGGCAUAGUUUGGUGCUUUUUCCUGUUGGAGAUCCCUCAGAGUGGCCCAGGCAGUGGUCAGGAAGAAGUCAGAUAUUACUGCUCUUAGAGAACCUGACGACUUAAUAGGUUGCCCCCCAGAUAGGACCCAGGCCCGCUGGGCAGGAACCAGAACCCUGUGGGAGGGUGUGAAGCGAACUUUGGGUCACCAGAUUGCUGACCUUUAGGGAGGGCGGGCCUCACUCUGCAUCUUGGGCCUCCGUCAAGGGCCUUGGCCUGCCAGGAAGUUGUACACACCAUCCAUUUUGAAGAAAGGAAAAUGGAAAUGGAAAGGGCACCCCUUAAACUUGAGGGCUCUUCCAGCCUCGUGGGCAGAGUGCACCGUGGGGCCAGCGUCUAGUCUGGGGAGGAACGGGUGCCUUCUGGUGCUGGGUUCCUGCCUUCUGCAGAGCCUCGGUGCUCCUGGCUCCUCAGUCAGACAUGAGGGACCAGGGCAGGUUUUAUUUUGGAGCAGUAUUUGUGGUGUUUUCCUUGAUUAUCUAGGACAUGGGAUUUGGGGAGGUGGAAAUGAUCUGCGGCAUCAUUUCUUCUUGUUGGGAUUUAGCCAGUUUGCCUGAAGCCUGUCUUUGGGCCCAGUGCUCAGUUUAUGUGGAUCAGGAGGUGGGCACGUGGAUCUGGCCAGUCGAGAUGCACACCUGGCCCUUGGCCGUCGUGGGUCUUGUGAACAGCUUCCAGAGAAAAUCGCAGAGCAAUAAACAGUUUUGGGCCCUGGACUUCACUGGGAGCUGGCGCCUUUCCACCCAUCAGAAUCCUUCCUAACAGGUCAGAUGGCAGACUCAGUAAGGAUGCUGAGCAGGUGGCCCCAUGAGUAUGAUUUUGAAGAAAGGAAAAUGGAAAUGGAAAGGGCACCCCUUAAACUUGAGGGCUCUUCCAGCCUCGGUGGAGAUCUGUGCCCAGCCCUGCAGCUAGCCUGAGGUUUUAGGAUUGUUGGGCAGGUCUGCUUUCAGUCGGGACGGGGUUCCUCCAGGAUUUUUCAGGGCCUGGACUGGCCUCAGGUCUGCGGUCCAGAUCCCCAGCGUGUGGCAGGCUGUGGGGCAUGUGCUUUCUCCCAGGACUGCUCCCCAAGCCCUGCCUUCCGCCUUGGGCCUGGCACCAGCCUCGUCCACAGGAGCAGAGAUCCCUGAUUUCAUUCAUAAUGUGUAUCAGAUGUUGAAACUUCGCCCCCGGGAUCCUGAGCCAGCUGUCAUGCUCCACU
rnacentral:lncRNA from 1 species